GACGAACGCUGGCGGCGUGCUUAACACAUGCAAGUCGAACGGAAAGGCCCUGCUUUUGUGGGGUGCUCGAGUGGCGAACGGGGGAGUAACACGUGAGUAACCUGCCCUUGACUUUGGGAUAACUUCAGGAAACGGGGGCUAAUACCGGAUAGGAGCUCCUGCUGCAUGGGGGGGGUUGGAAAGUUUCGGCGGUUGGGGAUGGACUCGCGGCUUAUCAGCUUGUUGGUGGGGUAGUGGCUUACCAAGGCUUUGACGGGUAGCCGGCCUGAGAGGGUGACCGGCCACAUUGGGACUGAGAUACGGCCCAGACUCCUACGGGAGGCAGCAGUGGGGAAUAUUGCACAAUGGGCGGAAGCCUGAUGCAGCAACGCCGCGUGCGGGAUGACGGCCUUCGGGUUGUAAACCGCUUUCGCCUGUGACGAAGCGUGAGUGACGGUAAUGGGUAAAGAAGCACCGGCUAACUACGUG
rnacentral:rRNA from 1 species